CCAGCGGCCCCCCCCGCCCCCGAGAUCCGAACCGGAGGAGUCUCUUAAGCUUGCGUGUUCCCGGCUGCAGUGGCUGCCUUGCGGUAUGGGACGAGCGGGGCCCGAGCGGGCGGAAAUUUGAGAGUGUCAUGAGCAGUCUCUUAAGUGCCCUUCAUAAGGGCAGUAUCUGUGUUUGAAAUAAGUUGAACCUUCAGCAGUUGGACUCACAUAGAGCAUUGUCUCCUCCACUGAGGUCCAUUCUGAAACAAGGAUUCUCCUUGGAACUCCAGGGACAGAACUUCCUGUAAACAUCUGGACUGUCCCCCCUGUGUGACCCAGAUGAAAAAAGAUGACCAAGGGCUUUCAGCCUCACUUAUGGGAGAGAGUGGAGUUGGGGUGAAAAAUACUCCCAGAAUCCACAUACUACAUCAGAAAGACUUGGAACUCUCCUGCCAGCAUGGUUUGUAACCUUCUCACUGUUGGCAUUGUUUAGAGUGCAUGAAGUGGUCUUUCUCCAUUUGUCACUCUCAGGAAUGUCACAAACUGGGAUGUACAUGAAGUAAAAUGACCUUCUUAAUUAGAGGAAGACUACUAUUUAAUCCAGGGUAAACCGUUGCACUUUCUAUAUUGAAUUUUAUUUUGUUUUACCUAAUUCUUAUUUAUAUUGAAUUCAUAAAGUUAUGAGCUUCUACAGUGGCUGAUAUUUUAUCAUCUUAUUCAUAUUAAUGUGUUUCUCUUAUAUUUUGCUUAAGCUUCUUAUUAUUCUUAUAAAGUAGCAAGUAUACCAGAUUUCCUAAUUCAGUUUGCUUCAAUUCCAAAUUCUUUUCUAGCACUUGAAAACAUAAGCCAGGAGACUCUAAACCUAACAUAUGUAACCAAAUGAUUCUCUGAUUUGCCAAAAUGAAUACAUCAUCAUGCUGAAAUUUGGCUGCUUUGGCCAAGAGCUCUAUUCUUUUUACAUAACAUAAUUCCCUUUUAUGGUUUCAUAUUCACUCUUCCAUUUUAUCUUAAAUCAUCCAAAGCAGUGUUUUUUCUAAUUGUCAGAAAAAAAUAAUUUAAUUAUUCCUCUAAUCGAGCUUAUUAUUUUGCUAUAAACCUGACAUUGCUUUCUAAAUAGGAGCUUGCUUGUUUAGCUUAAUUAUAUUUUGUGUGUUAUAAGACAGGUGGUCCCAUGAUUAGUGAUACAGAAAAAAUCUCUGUCAAAUAGAUAAAUUAUUUAAUGUGUUCUCUUAUUUUAUUUUUAGUGGGAUCUUGGCAAAAUCUCAUUUCAUGGAACGAACAUAUGAUAUUUAUUUAUCUCUCAUCCUAUAAAGUUCAUUAAAAUUUUGAAUGCAAAAAUUUAUUGCAUUUGCAUUCAGUCUAAAUCAUAAUAAAUGUUGCAUUACUAUUAAACA
ensembl:lncRNA